CCCUGUGGCGGCGGAAGGGGCAAGCAGGAGGUCGAUGCGUGCGCGGAGGGGAGCAGCAGCUCGGGGCGGAGGGGAGCAGGAGGGCGGUAGAGUGCGUGCGCGGAGGGGAGCAGCAGCACGGGGCGGAGGGGAGCAGCAGGGCGGUAGAGUAGAGGAGAGCUCGCCGGCGGCACGGAGGGAGCAGCUCACCAGCGGCGUCCAUGGGGAUGGGCCAUGGACUGAACUAACAGGGGUAUUUGAGUCCUCGUUUUUUGGCUUAUCCAUAAAACGGAAGAAGAAGGGCAAAAGAUCAAGUGUAAAAAUAAUGUGGGGCAAAAAAGUGAAUCAGAUGUAAACAAGGGCAAAAGGUAAAGUGUCAAAGUAAACAAGGGCAAAAAAUAAAAUUCCCCCCCUUCCUGUAUCCACUGAAGCUCGCAGGGACGGCAGGAGCGUGCCGCCACGCUCAAGCGGCCACACCGGCAGUCAGCCGCCCCUGGCCUCCCAAACCGGUUGGCGCCCGGCCGUCCCUGGCUGCCUACCUGGCCUCUGCCUCUGCCCUCCCUUCGUCUCCUUCAGAUCCGGUAGAAACCUCAACUUUGCUAGACUACCUUCGUCGGCAGAUCGACCACCACCACCACCAGUUGUCCUGCCACCCGCCCUUGACUUCGCUGCUCUAAACUUUGCUCCUCCCCGUGCGCCGCCCCGACGCUUGCGGCCGUUUGCCGUUCUGAAGCCCCGAUGCCACCAUCCUCCCCAUCGAUUGUGAACCCUCUGUUUUUCUCUAUUAUUACUGAAGUUGUUAUGUUUUUUUUUUGAAGUUGCCGAACUUUAAGUAGAGCAAAUUACUUUGUACUGUACGCAGGGUUAGCAGCGAGAAUGCAGACGGCCUCUGCCGCGUUCUGCUGCCCAAGCUUUGCUUGCCGCCCCGGGAGCCCAAAGGAUCUGGCAGCACUCUUGCUCUGGCUGCUGCUGGCAGUGAGGUCGUGAGUUGUCUUGCGGCUGCUAUUUCUUCAGUUCCUUGAAGGCUCUAACAUUUACGGUUUGAGAAUACUAGUGAAGAAGAAGGCCAUGGGCUGUUGCAUCCGAUGUUUUUCAGCUGAUGUGCUUGGGUGGACAAGAUGUGGAGAUGAAACUGUUGUUGAAGCUUGACUGAUAAGAAAUGGUGGUGCCGAGUGUAGUGAAUGUGUUGCAGACUAAUGAUUACAAGUGCACCAAGAAAGCAACGAAAAUAAAGUUGUGAGUCUGGUGGCCUAACUUCCUCCGGAUAUUUAUUAUUUUGUGUUCAUUGAUGAGUUGAUAAUAUUGUAAAAAAUCCUCUCCUAAUAACAUUUGGUACAGAAUAUCAAUUGUAGUAGCUGACAGUGGUGCUUUAGUGACUAUGGCAUGAAAUUUGAUUUGUAUUAAUUCUGAUUCUCAUCCUGUAACUCUUACAAUUUGGUUUCCAUUAUACUUGAUGACAUAUGUAGAUUA